AACGAACGCUGGCGGCAUGCCUAACACAUGCAAGUCGAACGAGAUCUUCGGGUCUAGUGGCGCACGGGUGCGUAACGCGUGGGAAUCUGCCCUUUGGUUCGGAAUAACAGUUGGAAACGACUGCUAAUACCGGAUGAUGACGAAAGUCCAAGGAUUUAUCGCCAGAGGAUGAGCCCGCGUAGGAUUAGCUAGUUGGUGUGGUAAAGGCGCACCAAGGCGACGAUCCUUAGCUGGUCUGGGAGGAUGAUCAGCCACACUGGGACUGAGACACGGACCAGACUGCUACGGGAGGCGGCAGUGGGGAAUAUUGGACAAUGGGCGAAAGCAUGAUCCAGCAAUGCCGCGUGAGUGAUGAAGGCCUUAGGGUUGUAAAGCUCUUUUACCCGGGAUGAUAAUGACAGUACCGGGAGAAUAAGCUCCGGCUAACUCCGUGCCAGCAGCCGCCGUAA
rnacentral:rRNA from 1 species